CAUUUUCCACUAAACAUAAAGGUUAUAUGGUCUGUGUCUUCCUUCUUUGUAAAUCUGUGCAGGUAUAAGUUUAAGAACUACCAGUUUGUUUUGGCCCUGGUAUUUGCCAUUGAGGAGAUCAACAAAAACCCUCAUCUUCUACCCAACACAACUCUGGGGUUUGUUCUCUAUAAUGUUGUAUUUACUGAAAAAAAGUAUUCUUUUUGGUGCCUUGGUUUGGCUAACAAGGAAGAAAACACCCCUACCUAACUAUGACUGUGGACAGAAGAGAAAGUCACCUGCUGCACUUACAGGAACAUUAUGGGCAACAUCUGCUCACAUUGCAACCCUGCUAAAACUCUACAAAAUACCUCAGCAGCUCACUUUUGGACCUUAUGAUUCUACCUUGAAUGAUCCAGGACAGUUUAAUUCUCUCUAUCAGAUGGCCCCCAAGGACACAUCUCUCUCACUUGCUAUAGUCUCUUUAAUGCUUCAUUUCAGCUGGUCAUGGGUUGGUCUGAUCCUCCCAGAUGACCACAGAGGGACUCAGAUUUUGUCAGAAUUCACAGAAGAUAUGGAAAGUAAUAACAUCUGCAUAGCGUUUUUAAAAUUGAUCCCUGGAACCAUGAAUUCAUUUUCCAACAAAUUAUGGCAAAAUAUGGAGGAGAUUCAGGAAUCAUCAGCAAAUGUGAUAAUUAUUUAUGGGGAUAUUGGUUAUUUACAGUGUUUAAUGAGACACAUUGGGCAACAGUUAGUGACAUGGAAAGUCUGGGUCUUGAAUUGUCAUUGGGAUGUUGUCAGCCAUAGUGAUUAUUUUAUGGUAGAGUCAUUUCAUGGUAGUUUCAUUUUUUUCACACUACCAUGAAGAGAUGAUUGAAUUUACAAAUUUUAUUCAAACAGUUAAUCCCUACAAAUACCCAGAAGACAAUUACCUCCCUAAGUUUUGGUUUUUAUUCUUCAAAUGCUCAUUUUCUGAGCUUGAUUGUCAUCUUUUGGAGAACUGCCAAGUCAAUGUUUCCUUGAUGUUACUGCCCAGACACAUUUUUGACCCAGCCAUGAGUGAAGAGGGACACAAUAUAUACAAUGCUGUAUAUGCUGUGGCCUACAGUCUCCAUGAGAUAUUUCUUGAGCAACUACAGACACAAGUGCAUGAUAGUGGAGAGGAAACUGUAUUCUUCCCUUGGCAGCUCUUCCCUUUCUUAAAGAACACCACGCAUAAAAAUCAUAUGAAAGGUCACACAGUAAUGGAUAGAGGAAGAAACUUAGAGUCAAAGUAUGAUAUUCUUAAUUUUUUGAAUUUUCCAAAGGGUCUUGGACUAAAGGUGAAAGUAGGAACCUUUUUCACGCAUGCCUCCCAGGGUCAACAAUUGUCUUUCUCUGAGCAGAUGAUCCAAUGGCCUACAAGCUUUACAAAGGUGAAUUGAGACUUAUCCCGUUUCUUUGACCUUUCACAAAAACAAAAGAAAUUUUCAGUAUG
rnacentral:lncRNA from 1 species